GAAGAACUACCAGGGUGCCUAAGGAGGGAUUGAACAAGGUUGCAAACAAACUCUCCUGCUGGUUAGAAACAUUCUCAACUUGACACAGCAUUUAGUAAGAACUCAGGUCUGUCAGUUCUGGAGAUGCAGCAUGAAGGCUGCUUGCUCUCAGUGCAGGUUCUCUGUCCCCUUGCUUUUGUCUUCUAGGGUUUAUGCUGAGAGUUCUGGAAAAACACACAUAAUGAAUUCCUGAAUCCAUUGGUUCCCUUACCAUGCAUGCUGUUCCUGAUGUGUGACCCACUCCGUGUGUUGUUGAAAGUCCACUCUGAGCCUACCCUUUCCUUCCAAGAGAACGUCAUGUAUGCAUUGCAUGGUAGAUCGUAAUCCUAGUGCCCUUUGCUCUUCUCUCUGUCAUCAGUUUUCUGUUUUAUCAGUGUUAAUCUUCUUGUCGUUUCUAUUACCUUUGCGAACCAUACUGAGUUUGCAAUGGAUUCACAACUUCAGUACACCUCCAAUGCCACAAAAUGCAAGUUAGCUGUCUUUUCCACCAUUGUACUUGGUUACAGGAUCAGGAAUUCUUAAUGUGAUGAUCUAGACCAAUAGUUGUGCUUGCUUCUAAGAAAUAGCAACGGAAUGGUUAUAGCUUGCAAAGUGAAGCUGCUCAGUCAUAAAUUUAGAACUCUUGGCUGUAUUUAACUUUGUUCUCAGCCUUGCAGUGCCUGUGGUUUUAUUCUCUGUUCACUUGGUUAUCAGGGAUUUCUUGACAUUGUUUGGCACACACAGUAUCACAGUCAUUAAAGGUGGUCGACUAUGUUCUUGACCACAUGCAUCACAGGUAUUAAAGGUGGCCAGCUUUGUUCUUGACUGUGUGGUUUCUGCCAUCUUUAUCCUAAGUCUUCUGGUGUGGGCAAUCUAUUGCUUCUAAACAAGCCUAUGAGUAUGUGGACUGCAAGCUUUUGGCUAAGCAGGAAAAAUGAGAACAACAUACGUAGUUCAUUGGGCGGGAAAUAUAGUAUUAAAGCCUGAUGAAGUGGGUGUUUCCUAAAUUCAUCAACCCAGGGAAGCUUUCCCAGUAUCUAAAUUAGGCUUGAGGAUAGAAGAGAACUACAGAAGACAGACACCAGGGCAGCUGUGAAGACAUAUGCCACAAAACUUCAAUUCCGUGCGGAAACUGAACCUACUUACAGUGCUCUUUCCCACAAAUCCUGUUUGGCUGCAUGUUUCAUAAGCAGCAACAAAUCCUCGUUAGCAUAAGGACUGGCUUUGUUAAAUCCAACACACAGGUGACAAGGAAAUCCUGUACAUAAAGCUUAUCUGGUAAAAAGAUCCCUGCGGCAAAGACAUCCGUGUAUCUCACAAGCCAGUGCUCUCCCACGGGAAUUACGUCCCUCCUUUAUUGACCAUUCCUGUCUUCUGAAGCUAGUAGUACCCAGAUGGAAGAAACUGAAAAAACUGGUUUUGAUUGUAAAGAAUUGUUUCUCGUUUUCAAUUAGCCUUGAAGUUCUAUGAAAGGAAGGUUUUCCAUUUUGUCAACGAAAGCAAAACUGCCGCACUUAUUAGGCUGAGACAUAUUCUCAAUAGCAGUCAGCUAGACCUCAGCAAAGACCUGCAGCCAGGAACGGAAGCCCAGCCGGGUCAAUCUGUAAAAUCCUGCUGCUGAUCUCUGUAGACAGAAACCCAAAUCCUCUGAGGCUGCCCAAUUAUAAACCGUUCUCUAUUCAGCUCCAAGAUUUGCUUUUGAAAGUUUUUUAAGACUGUUCUCUGGGAAAAUUUUAGAGCUUUCAAGGAGAUGAAGAAUUUGCGGCGGAAAUGAGGCCAUGACCCAAAAGCAGAGCUGCCGAGUGACCCAAUUCGUAAGGAAAGAGGGACGUGCCCGAAUAAGGACUGUUUUUCUCAAGGCUGGGUUAAGUGUGGAUUGUGUGCAUUUGUGCGUGGGAAGGAAGGCAGAACUAUAGAGCA